rnacentral:rRNA from 1 species
CCUACGGGAGGCAGCAGUAGGGAAUAUUGCUCAAUGGGGGAAACCCUGAAGCAGCAACGCCGCGUGGAGGAUGAAGGUUUUAGGAUCGUAAACUCCUUUUGUGAGAGAAGAUAAUGACGGUAUCUAACGAAUAAGCACCGGCUAACUCCGUGCCAGCAGCCGCGGUAAUACGGCGGGUGCAAGCGUUACUCGGAAUCACUGGGCGUAAAGAGCGCGUAGGCGGGAUAGCAAGUCAGAUGUGAAAUCCUAUGGCUUAACCAUAGAACUGCAUUUGAAACUGUUAUUCUAGAGUAUGGGAGAGGUAGGUGGAAUUCUUGGUGUAGGGGUAAAAUCCGUAGAGAUCAAGAGGAAUACUCAUUGCGAAGGCGACCUGCUAGAACAUAACUGACGCUGAUGCGCGAAAGCGUGGGGAGCAAACAGGAUUAGAUACCCCAGUAGUC